rnacentral:rRNA from 1 species
CCUACGGGAGGCAGCAGUGGGGAAUAUUGCACAAUGGGGGAAACCCUGAUGCAGCGACGCCGCGUGAGUGAAGAAGGAUUUCGGUAUGUAAAGCUCUGUUAGCAGGGAAGAAAAUGACGGUACCUGACCUAGAAGCACCGGCUAACUAUGGGCCAGCAGCCGCGGUAAUACGUAGGGGGCAAGAGUUAUCCGGAUUUUCUGGGUGUAAAGGGAGCGUAGACGGGAAGGCAAGUCUGGAGUGAAAGGCGGGGGCUCAACCCCCGGACUGCUCUUGAAACUGUCAGGCUUGAGUGCAGGAGAGGUAAGUGGAAUUCCUUGUGUAGCGGUGAAAUGCGUAGAUAUUAGGAAGAACACCAGUGGCGAAGGCGGCUGACUGGACUGUAACUGACGUUGAGGCUCGAAAGCGUGGGGAGCAAACAGGAUUAGAUACCCUUGUAGUC